rnacentral:tRNA from 1 species
GCAGUGGUGGUUCAGUGGUAGAAUUCACGCUUUCCAUGUGGGAGACCUGGGUUCAAUUUCUGGCCAAUGUA